UUCGCUCUUGGAAUUCAUUUUCCGCGCAUGUACACGCACACGUUUGCUUUCAAUGGAAAAUCCUUUGGCUAGACGAUAAUUCUUAACAUGUGCGAAACUUGGCUAUUUGCGCAAUUAUAAUUUACGAUACCAAUGAAACCAUUACAGGCAGUUUCAGAUAUUUAUGUAUGUUUGUGUGUUUCGAAACAUCUUCGAUACUUAUUCCUACGUUAUCGAUCCAAUUCUAUAAUUCUGCGAUUCGAGAAUCCUAGAGUUCCAAAGCUCUGGAGUUCCAAAGCUCUAGAGUUCCAAAGCUCUAGAGUUCCAAAGCUCUAGAGUUCCAAAG
rnacentral:misc_RNA from 1 species